GUUACCUCCUUAACGACAAUCCUACGCGGCAGUCUAAAUGGGUUUUAAAUAUAAACUUAAAUGUCCAACUAGGAUAAGAAUAGUUUUUUCACUCAAAACGGAAAAGAAAACUAAAAGAAAAAGGAGACGAAUGGUUUUUCUUUUCCAAUUCAAGGUAUAAAUAAUUUAAAAUUUUCAAUUAAUUAAAUUUAUUUAAUUAAAAAACCUAUUCUCAUCCCAAUUGGUAUUUAAAACUCAUUUGGAUUGCCAUGUAGGAUUGUCGUUAGUGAGGUAAA
rnacentral:pre_miRNA from 1 species